GCAAUGACAAAAAGUCCCAUUAUGGUGUGUUGGCUGAAACCUUUUCUGUUUUAUUAUUACUUGAGAUAUUUUUCCAUGGCGUAUAUAAAUUCAUCAUCUUCUUUUGUUAGACAAAUUAUAUUAUAUAUUUAAAAAAAAAAAAUACUUUGGCACUUUUCCUGGAAUAGCAGUAAGAAUAGGAUGGCCUCUUACCAGUAAUACCUUCACAAUAUAAGGAAGUGAAAUAAUUUUCUUCUUUGAUGGCAUGAGUAUGAUACAAGGUUUGAAAAUGUAGGGAAAAAACAAAGAAAGAUGUGGCAGGAAGAGAAACUGCCACCUUAAUACUGCCAUGUUGGUGUGGCCUGUGGAACCAUGUAAUUAUCAGUUUUUACAUAUUUGGUUGGUUUCCACCAUGGAGGGAGGGAGAAAGGAGGGGGAAGAGGAGGGAGAAGAGGUGAGGGGGGCAUAUUUUAUUUUGUUUAAUUGUUUAAAAUUUAUUAAUUCCUUAAAAG
rnacentral:misc_RNA from 1 species